CUCCUCCAUCCUGUGUGGACAAGUCCAUGGGUGAGCUCCCUAGGUCCCCUGUGUUGGCUGAGUCCCUCCUGCCACCCCAACAGCUUGCCAUCCACACCCUCCAGGGCUCUCCCUGGGCCCAUGGUAUCAUCCCCAGGGCUGUCUGUGAGCCAGCAGGCAGGCAGGCAGACAAUAGCCUGCCCCCUGGCCUGGAGCGUUCAGCCCUCCAUGUUCCUCUUCAAGCCCCUCUGCUCCUGCCAUUUCUCCAGCCCCCUACCUGGCCCCAGUCUCCCUUUCACUUGGUUGCUCAGUGAUGUACAGCAGCUGGUUUGUGAGACUCUAGGUGUCAGGCACAUGGGGACUGUGAACAAGUGUCUGCUUGCUUUUCUGAAACACUGAACACAUGCUGCAGUGCCUGUGUUUCAGAUAUGCUGAGUUAGCUGAAAUGUUUAUUUUGUGAUGUGGCUACUGAGAAAUUGAAACAGACGGAUGUGGCAGCCCUAUUUGUGAGUGCUGCUCAGAUGCUAGGUAGGGAGACAACCAAGUGGAACCCCUCCAAGCACCCCGAUGAACAGUCUCCAGGGUCUGAAAUACCUCUGUAUUGAUGAUCACAUUUUUAACCACAGGCUCUGACAUUCACAAACCCAACUGGACACCAGCUUUCUGGAAGCCGUGCUGUCAUGCCUCAAGAGGGAUUCUACCAGAGUUGUACUCCAGGGGACAGGAAAUCAGAGGGAAACAGACUCAGACUAAGAGAAACUUAAGUAAGGUGACACACCAGAGGCCUCCUGAGGUUUCACACUGUACCCAUACAUUUCAAUAAACUAUUUAAACUGCCUAAUGAAA